rnacentral:rRNA from 1 species
AUUGAACGCUGGCGGCAGGCUUAACACAUGCAAGUCGAGCGGGGUGAUGGUGCUUGCACUAUCACUUAGCGGCGGACGGGUGAGUAAUGCUUAGGAAUCUGCCUAUUAGUGGGGGACAACAUUCCGAAAGGAAUGCUAAUACCGCAUACGUCCUACGGGAGAAAGCAGGGGAUCUUCGGACCUUGCGCUAAUAGAUGAGCCUAAGUCGGAUUAGCUAGUUGGUGGGGUAAAGGCCUACCAAGGCGACGAUCUGUAGCGGGUCUGAGAGGAUGAUCCGCCACACUGGGACUGAGACACGGCCCAGACUCCUACGGGAGGCAGCAGUGGGGAAUAUUGGACAAUGGGGGAAACCCUGAUCCAGCCAUGCCGCGUGUGUGAAGAAGGCCUUAUGGUUGUAAAGCACUUUAAGCGAGGAGGAGGCUACUGAGACUAAUACUCUUGGAUAGUGGACGUUACUCGCAGAAUAAGCACCGGCUAACUCUGUGCCAGCAGCCGCCGCCG